UGAAUGUUGUCCCCAAUUACAUUUUUCCAUCACAGUAUGCUUUGUACCUUGCCAUGGAGGCACCGUUUGACUUCACUGUUCUAAGUAGGCAUUACAUUAAAUGAAAAAAGAGCUGACUAUUGAAAAGAUACGUUUAAAAUAAGAAUUUGAUUUUUGACAUGUAAGGUUACAACAUCGAAAAAUUCAUACUUGUAUGCAUAUUUUAUCAUUGUCGAUUCUUGGAAUAUCCCCUUACUUUAGAAAGACAUGCCUGUCCUCAGAAAAUGGUGGUGCACAGUACUGCUUGAGAACUUCCACCUGGAUGGGCACGGCAGAAGGUUCCCACACUUCAUGGAGGAGGCCAAACAAAUGGCGGCUGAACUACUUCCAACAGUCUUCAGACUGAAGUGAAAAAGAGAAGUGAAUGACUUUUCCAGUGACAGAAUACAAAUAAUAUAUUGUAUAGGCUUAAUAUUGAUUUGACUGUUUGAUUAUUUUGACAGUGAGUUGGAGCUGAUGGCAGUCAGCAUGAAGAAGCUAUAUCUUUAAGAUUCUGUAGAUUAUUUGUUAAAUAAAUUGUGAGGAAACUUU